GGAUAGAGAAGAAGAAGGGUUUGGAGAAGAACCUUUGGGGGAGAAAUAGACUAUUUCAUUUUCAUUCAUAAUUCUGUUUGCCAUACAAUCUCGUACUUAUACUUCUCAGGAUUAAUACUGGAAUGGAAAUUACAUAAUCUCUUAGGACUAAACAGCAAAGUGACCAAAAAUGAGAUGCUGAUUGGUUGGGCUGCCAUUCGGGGUUGUUGGGCCACCUCUCUGGGCCUUCCGGUCCGGUAGUGCUAGUGAGUGGGUAAACGGGUGCCGGACUCCUCCUUCUCCGCAUCAUCCGCGACCCUGCGGGUUUUGGGCUCGCCUUUUUCCUCCGCUCCGAAGGCUUGAGGCUCCGACCCGCCUGCUCUCUUCUUCGCCCCAAAAACCAAGAUCCGUCGGACUUCUCCUCCAACCUCGGUCCUUCUUCUGCUCUCUCUCCGCUCCGAGGACACCCAAGCUCCUCCGCCCCGCCAAGGCUCCGCCCGGGCCACCCUUCGCCAGCCUGUUCAAGCUCGCCGGUCUGCUCCAUCAAGCGCGCUUUUCCUCACUUGCUGCGGCCAUUAUUUCUGCUCUUACUAUUGUAAAGUUAGACAUUUUUACUUCCUUCCCCUGCUAGCUAUUAGACUACUUAAUACUUCAGGUCAUUACAAUCCCUUCCCCUUAAGUUCAUCCUUGUCCUCAAGGAUGGAACUUUUUGAACUGGUUUUGGGAUCACCCAUUUGCUUUCCCAACAGCACAUUCUUCUUCUUCAAAAUUGCUUCUUUUAAGCCAUGUUUGAACCUCUGUUCUGUUUUCUCACCCCACUUUGCGCCGGUUUGAGGUGUUUCCCAUUGUGUCCACAUUCGCCUAACACCUCGGGUUGGCAGCACGGACGGCGGCUCCUGCUGGGGCGGGGGCUCACCCUUGGGCCUUCAGGCAGUCGCAACCGGCGCGCCGCCCGACUUGUUUGCUCUGAGAUGUGGCAAAGUGUAUACUGGCAAAAUGGGAGCUCUAGAAUUUUCUCCAUAGUCUUGCUGGAAUGCUUGUAGGGUAAUAAUUCUGGGUAUAUCUGUUCUUCUCCUUCAAGAACUCCCUCACUUCUUCUUUUAUCAAUAUGGUGCUUCAUUCCCUGACACCAAUUCGUAUUCGGUUGCUCCUUAAGAUUGCACUUGACCUGAUCACUUUGCUUGCACCAACUUACAAUCAAGUUCACUCUAGCAUUCUCAGAAGGGAUUGAGAUUGUAGGGAAAUAACCCAAUUCUCUAUUAGAUUCUUUCAGCUUGGCUUGCUCAUAAGCCAAUGACAGUGAGCUAGGGUGAGGCAUUUUAAUAAUUGGUGCUACCCCCCUCUUAUACCAACUAACAAGGGUUGACCUAAGGCAAACUCCUGUCGGACCAAGAAUUUGACUUAGCACUUGUACCUGCAAGUCUUGUGAUCUCUCUUGCUGCCUUAGCAUUGUUGCAAAUUCCACCUCUUGUUGAUCACUGAUUUGUUGUAUCUCAAAGCAUUUCUUGUUCACUCCCAACAGAACUGCGACAAAUUCUUUCUCUUGAGUAGAAUCUUUAACUUCUCUAAGUGGCUUUUGUAUGCAAGCAUGUAAUUCCUCCAUUAUUGCUCCAGAUCUAAUCCGAUAGUGCCGAGCUUCUAUUACUUGUACUCCCUGCUUGAUUAUCAUUGGUAGCUUGAUUGGGGUGACAAGCCUUUGCGAAAAUCUUUCUUCAAUGCCACGAGUGGUCACCUUGUUAGGUCCUGGAUCAAAAGGCACUUGCCUAUAUUCCUUCAUCCAAUCAAUUCUAAGCACUAUGUCAGAAUUUUCGAGCCUCAAUUCUCUCGAAUCAGCAAAGAAUUUGUGUCCUGGCUCCUUUCUUGCAAACUGAGGGCAAGAAUUUUCGCUUAGCACCUUGUGCUCAGGGUCUGCUAUCACUAUCAAGGGUGCAACCGUAGUAAACUCAACUCUGGUAGCUUUUGCAAUCCCGAAGUCAAUGAGGCUAUGCAGGUUUCGAUCAUCAUUCAAAAUUAAUUGGGUUUGGUUACCUGACUCCUUGAUACUCCUAGCCUCGUAGACAUUUCCUCCUUCUACUUGUUGUGGCUCACCUUCUUCUUCUUUUGCUGUCUCAGAUUCAGCACCCAUCUCAACCUUUUUCUGGGCUUGUAACACAUGCAGGGAGCUAUUCUUGCAUUGCUUUUCUGUAAUAUAUUCCUUUCUACAUUCUAGGCAAUGCCAUUGCAUCGUUGUUCGCUUACUUGUAGCAGUCGCUUCUUCAAAAUCAUAAUGAAUACUCUUUUUAGAUCUGCGAGCUGUACUUUCCGCGAUUUCUCAGGUACUCCCUACUUCUGCUGAAGUAGAAUGGCCAUCUGGGGCAUUGUGGGCAGGCCCGAGUAGAGGCGGCUGUGUUGCGAGUAGCUUCAGCAGCUCCUCGGGCUUGCUAGCACGCUCGCUCAAUGCGAUCUCUGGUCUUCUAUUGAUCUCCAACUGUAGAUAAUCACCACACUCUUGCUCCGACCCUGCACUUCCAGCUUCCUGUAUGUGAUCAUCCUCCUGCACCAUAAUUUCAGCCCUCUUUGCGGCUUCACAAUUCUGUUGGCAGCUCUCUACCGAAUUGGUUUGCUCGCAAGUACUAAAUUCUCGGAUUGGGUACCCCUCUUUUGCCGCUGUAAAUCUUUUACAAAUUGCAUCGGAAAACUCGCUCCAAUUCACCCUUGGUCGAUUAAAGAAAUAUGCUUGCUUCCAAAACCUUGCAUCACCCCCUAUGUGCCAGGACGCUACGCCUAUCCAUUGUUGCUCAGGAAUUUGGUAUCGGUCAAAAUACUGCUCGCAAUUUCGCAACCAUCCUUUUGGAUCUGUUCCGUUAAAGGUUGGGAUUUGCAACUUCAAGUAUGGUAUAUAUUGUUGCAGUGGUUGGUUUCUUGCAGGCCUAAUUGAUGUGGGUGUUAGCCUUUCCCUCUCAAUAGGAGCUAGUAUUUUACUUUCCAUAUCAUUCUGUUGAAUCACAAAAUUGCUACUCGUGGAAUUGUCUUGUACGACUUGUCGGCCUUCUCUGAUUACCAAAGGGGUGUUCACUGACUGUGAGUUCGGCCCUAAAGCUGUCAGCAAAUCCACUAGCUGUUGAUGCAUUCUAGCACUCUCUUGCCGCAACUUUUCAUAGCUCGUGGCUUCUUCUAUUCGCAAGGCUUCGUACUUCUGCUGCCAUGUUUGUCGUGAACUAUCCAUUUGGCUGAAGUUACUAUAUCAAGGUUGCGAAUGAUGCUAUCUUGAGGCUUAGAUGCUGCUCCUAUCCUUGGACAGUACUAAUUCUUCUCUUGGUUUUGAAUUUGAAUCGGUUUUCGCUCUUUUUUUUUUUUUUUUUUUUUUCCAAUUGUCGCCCUUGGACGCUACUGUGAUUGCUUCACUCUUGUUUGGUCUGAAAUUAUAGCUUGCUACAGUAACUACGCCGAGGUGCCAAUGAUGCUAAGCUGAGGCCCGGUGCGAUUCUAAUUCAAUAGAAUCCGCACUAGUCUUUACUACUACCUCGGUACAGCCUUAGUAUGUUUCCUCUGUUGCUAAUUGUGCUAGUUGGAUGAUAUUACCUUGUGCACGCCAAUUGCUUGGGGUAAUUCCCCACAGCUGCUGAGCCUCCAACGGUCUUGCUCCUGUUGAAUUCCUGCUGCCCACGGCCCUGGGACAGUGCCACUCUGAUACCAAUUGUAAUAUCCCUUAUGGCUUGGUUCAGGUUCUUGGUACUUCUGGUCGCGGAUCCGAGGUAACGUAAUCGGUAACCGAGGCUAGAGAGGUGAGGAAAUAGAGAUAGAAAUUGGGAUUGAGAUAGAGGGAAGAGAAAUAGAGGUAGAGAGAUAGAUAGAUGAGGAUUGAGAGGUGAGGGUUAGGAAAAAGAGUUGGGAUAGAGAUAAGGGAUAGAGAAGAAGAAGGGUUUGGAGAAGAACCUUUGGGGGAGAAAUAGACUAUUUCAUUUUCAUUCAUAAUUCUGUUUGCCAUACAAUCUCGUACUUAUACUUCUCAGGAUUAAUACUGGAAUGGAAAUUACAUAAUCUCUUAGGACUAAACAGCAAAGUGACCAAAAAUGAGAUGCUGAUUGGUUGUGCUGCCAUUCGGGGUUGUUGGGCCACCUCUCUGGGCCUUCCGGUCCGGUAGUGCUAGUGAGUGGGUAAACGGGUGCCGGACUCCUCCUUCUCCGCAUCAUCCGCGACCCUGCGGGUUUUGGGCUCGCCUUUUUCCUCCGCUCCGAAGGCUUGAGGCUCCGACCCGCCUGCUCUCUUCUUCGCCCCAAAAACCAAGAUCUGUCGGACUUCUCCUCCAACCUCGGUCCUUCUUCUGCUCUCUCUCCGCUCCGAGGACACCCAAGCUCCUCCGCCCCGCCAAGGCUCCGCCCGGGCCACCCUUCGCCAGCCUGUUCAAGCUCGCCGGUCUGCUCCAUCAAGCGCGCUUUUCCUCACUUGCUGCGGCCAUUAUUUCUGCUCUUACUAUUGUAAAGUUAGACAUUUUUACUUCCUUCCCCUGCUAGCUAUUAGACUACUUAAUACUUCAGGUCAUUACAGUCCCCUCCCCUUAAAAUCAUCCUUGUCCUCAAGGAUGGAACUUGUUGAACUGGUUUGGGGCUCCCAUUUGCUUCCCUCGCGGCACAUUCUUCUUCUUCAAAAUUGCUUAUUUUAAGCCAUAUUCUAAUAGCUGUUCUGUUUUCUUGCCCCCCCUUUGCGCCGGUGUGAGGCGUUUCCAACUGUGUCCACACUCGCCUAACACCUCAGGUUGGCAGCAUGGACGGCGGCUCCUGCUGGGGCGGGGCUUACCCGUGGGACCUUCAGGCAGUCGCAACCGGCGUGCCGCCCGACUUGUUUGCUCUGAGAUGUGGCAAAGUGUAUACUGGCAAAAUGGGAGCUCUGGAAUUUUCUCCAUAGUCUUGCUGGAAUGCUUGUAGGGUAAUAAUUCUGGGUAUAUUUGUUCUUCUCCUUCAAGAACUCCCUCACUUCUUCUUUUAUCAGUAUAGUGCUUCAUUCCCUGACACCAAUUUGUAUUCGGUUGCUUCUUAAGAUUGUGCUUGACCUGAUCACUUUGCUUGCACCAACUUACAAUCAAGUUCACUCUAGCAUUCUCAGAAGGGAUUGAGGUAUAGAUUGUAGGGAAAUAACCCAAUUCUCUAUUAGAUUCUUUCAGCUUGGCUUGCUCAUAAGCCAAUGACAGUGAGCUAGGGUGAGGCAUUUUAAUAAUUGGUGCUACCCCCCUCUUAUACCAACUAACAAG
rnacentral:lncRNA from 1 species